rnacentral:rRNA from 1 species
GAUGAACGCUGGCGGCGUGCCUAAUACAUGCAAGUCGAGCGAACAGACGAGGAGCUUGCUCCUCUGACGUUAGCGGCGGACGGGUGAGUAACACGUGGAUAACCUACCUAUAAGACUGGGAUAACUUCGGGAAACCGGAGCUAAUACCGGAUAAUAUAUUGAACCGCAUGGUUCAAUAGUGAAAGACGGUUUUGCUGUAACUUAUAGAUGGAUCCGCGCCGCAUUAGCUAGUUGGUAAGGUAACGGCUUACCAAGGCGACGAUGCGUAGCCGACCUGAGAGGGUGAUCGGCCACACUGGAACUGAGACACGGUCCAGACUCCUACGGGAGGCAGCAGUAGGGAAUCUUCCGCAAAGGGCGAAAGCCUGACGGAGCAACGCCGCGUGAGUGAUGAAGGUCUUCGGAUCGUAAAACUCUGUUAUUAGGGAAGAACAAAUGUGUAAGUAACUAUGCACGUCUUGACAGUACCUAAUCAGAAAGCCACGGCUAACUACGUG